rnacentral:rRNA from 1 species
CCUACGGGUGGCAGCAGUGAGGAAUAUUGGUCAAUGGGCGCGAGCCUGAACCAGCCACGUAGCGUGAAGGAUGACUGCCCUACGGGUUGUAAACUUCUUUUAUAAAGGAAUAAAGUGAGGCACGUGUACCUUUUUGUAUGUACUUUAUGCAUAAGGAUCGGCUAACUACGUGCCAGCAGCCGCGGUAAUACGGAGGAUCCGAGCGUUAACCGGAUUUAGUGGGUUUAAAGGGAGCGUAGAUGGGUUGUUAAGUCAGUUGUGAAAGUUUGCGGCUCAAACGUAAAAUUGCAAUUGAUACUGGCAGCCUUGAGUACAGUUGAGGUAGGCGGAAUUCGUGGUGUAGCGGUGAAAUGCGUAGAUAUUACGAAGAACUCCGAUUGCGAAGGCAGCUUACUAAACUGCCACUGACAUUGAGGCUCGAAAGUGUGGGUAUCAAACAGGAUUAGAUACCCGAGUAGUC